CCUACGGGUGGCAGCAGUGGGGGAUAUUGCACAAUGGGGGGAACCCUGAUGCAGCGACGCCGCGUGGGUGAAGGAGUGCUUCGGCAUGUAAAGCCCUAUCGGCAGGGAAGAAGCAAGACGGUACCUGACUAAGAAGCGCCUGCUAACUACGUGCCAGCAGCCGCGGUAAUACGUAGGGGGCGAGCGUUAUCCGGAUUGACUGGGUGUAAAGGGAGCGUAGACGGCCAUGCAAGCCAGGGGUGAAAGCCCGGGGCCCAACCCCGGGACUGCCCUUGGAACUGGGCGGCUAGAGUGCGGGAGGGGCAGGCGGAAUUCCUGGUGUAGCGGUGAAAUGCGUAGAUAUCAGGAAGAACACCGGCGGCGAAGGCGGCCUGCUGGACUGCGACUGACGUUGAGGCUCGAAAGCGUGGGGAGCGAACAGGAUUAGAUACCCUGGUAGUC
rnacentral:rRNA from 1 species